UGGCAAGCAGGUGUUCGCGAUAAGCUGACCCCAGUCCGACGCGGGGAAUCCGGUGAGAAUCCGGAACGGUCGCGCCACUGUGAGGCCGCCGUGACGGCGGGCGAGUCAGAGCACCGGUCGGGCUGCCGUUGCGUCGU
rnacentral:sRNA from 25 species